AUUGAACGCUGGCGGCAGGCCUAACACAUGCAAGUCGAGCGGAUGACGGGAGCUUGCUCCUUGAUUCAGCGGCGGACGGGUGAGUAAUACCUAGGAAUCUGCCUGAUAGCGGGGGACAACGUUUCGAAAGGAACGCUAAUACCGCAUACGUCCUACGGGAGAAAGCAGGGGACCUUCGGGCCUUGCGUUAUCAGAUGAGCCUAGGUCGGAUUAGCUAGUUGGUGAGGUAAUGGCUCACCAAGGCGACGAUCCGUAACUGGUCUGAGAGGAUGAUCAGUCACACUGGAACUGAGACACGGUCCAGACUCCUACGGGAGGCAGCAGUGGGGAAUAUUGGACAAUGGGCGAAAGCCUGAUCCAGCCAUGCCGCGUGUGUGAAGAAGGUCUUCGGAUUGUAAAGCACUUUAAGUUGGGAGGAAGGGCAGUAAGCUAAUACCUUGCUGUUUUGACGUUACCGACAGAAUAAGCACCGGCUAACUCUGUGCCAGCAGCCGCGGUAACAC
rnacentral:rRNA from 1 species